rnacentral:rRNA from 1 species
GACGAACCGAGCGAACGUUAUUCGGAAUCACUGGGCUUAAAGGGCGCGUAGGCGGGCCAUCAAGUCAGGGGUGAAAGCCCCCAGCUCAACUGGGGAAGUGCCUUUGAUACUGGUGGUCUCGAGGGGGAUAGGGGCAUGCGGAACUUCCGGUGGAGCGGUGAAAUGCGUAGAUAUCGGAAGGAACACCGGUGGCGAAGGCGGGUCUCUGGACAGUUCCUGACGCUGAGGCACGAAGGCCAGGGGAGCAAACGGG